GACGAACCGAGCGAACGUUGUUCGGAAUCACUGGGCUUAAAGGGCGCGUAGGCGGGCUGCCGCGUCCGGGGUGAAAUCGCUCGGCUCAACUGGGCGGGGUCCGUGGAAACUGGUCACCUGGAGGACGGUAGAGGCGAGUGGAAUUCCCGGUGUAGUGGUGAAAUGCGUAGAGAUCGGGAGGAACACCAGUGGCGAAGGCGGCUCGCUGGGCCGGACCUGACGCUGAGACGCGAAGGCGUGGAGAGCGAACGGG
rnacentral:rRNA from 1 species